AUUGAACGCUGGCGGCAUGCCUUACACAUGCAAGUCGAACGGUAACGGGCCUUCGGGUGCCGACGAGUGGCGAACGGGUGAGUAAUACAUCGGAACGUGCACGAUCGUGGGGGAUAACGAGGCGAAAGCUUUGCUAAUACCGCAUACGAUCUACGGAUGAAAGCAGGGGACCGCAAGGCCUUGCGCGGACGGAGCGGCCGAUGGCAGAUUAGGUAGUUGGUGGGAUAAAAGCUUACCAAGCCGACGAUCUGUAGCUGGUCUGAGAGGAUGAUCAGCCACACUGGGACUGAGACACGGCCCAGACUCCUACGGGAGGCAGCAGUGGGGAAUUUUGGACAAUGGGCGCAAGCCUGAUCCAGUCAUGCCGCGUGCAGGAUGAAGGCCUUCGGGUUGUAAACUGCUUUUGUACGGAACGAAAAGCCUUCUUUUAAUACAGGAGGGUCAUGACGGUACCGUAAGAAUAAGCACCGGCUAACUACGUG
rnacentral:rRNA from 1 species